GUAGAAGUCCUAAGUGUUGGAAAAAAAUCCAAUUUGAAAACGGUGUCUUACAUAGCGAAAAAUUAAAUUUUUAAAAACUGACUCGGUUUGUGAUAAUUAUUGCAUUAAACCUUAGACAGAAAUCGUACUUAUGUUUUUGAAUAAGCAAAUCCUUGAUGUUUUUCUGGUUUCAACCAAACGAUCUUCUCCACUAUUCUCGUACUAUGAACUACUUCGAGUGUGAGCUCG
rnacentral:lncRNA from 1 species